rnacentral:lncRNA from 1 species
GUAGUGGUCAAAGGAGCUCUGAUUGAGCUGGCAGGCCAGGUUUUGUAAAGAGCAAAAUUACUUUCAGGUCCCUUGUUGAGGGAACAGGUCAGCGUUAUCCUGCCAGACAUCUGGGUCAGGAACUUGGGAGACAACAUCUGCUUACCUGGCAGAACUCCCCACUCCACUCCCCCAGGUGGGCUGGGUGGAAGGACCCUCAGCCACCAAGAACUGACGCCCUCAUGGCCCUAGACUAUGGGGUUGAAAACUCAUAGCAGUCAGGUUUGUUUACCAUCUCUCCGAGCCUCCACCACACUCCCUGACCCACCCAACGUCUCCAGUUCUUAUUGUUCUCCUUCCUUCCUUCUUUCCUUUCCCUUCUCACCUCUUUGCCUCCUUCCCUAAAAUUCGCUGUGGCCCUCGGGGUCAGACUGUUCAUUCUCCAGCAUGAUUGUGCCUUUUAAUUAGAGGUCUAGAAAGUUCACCUGAACCCACACCCCCUUCUUCCUGAGAAUUCUGGUGCCUCUAAAGCCCCUCCUUGCCACUCAGGGUUUUAGUGGGUGCUCCCACUGCUCAGUGUACCCAUGAGCUGUCGUCAUUCACAGAGCCCUGUGCCAGGCCGUGUUCUGUGCCUGCCUGCGGUGAUGUAGCCAGAAGCACGUACUCAGGUCAUCAAGCCGAGAGGGCGUCAAAGAGGAAGCCUGGGCUGGGAUCCUUAGGCUCAGCUGUCUGUCUAAUCCCAGAGCUAAGCCCUUUCUGCUUCGGGCAGCCUGGACUCCAGCCCUGAGUAUAGAGGCGGUGUGGAUGGCUGGCCCUCAUCCUACCUGUGUCUUUAUUGCUUUGAUCACCACAGUCUCUAACUUGCUGCUUUCUCCAGAAGCCUUUUUAUGUAUGGGUUAGAAACUCUUUUUUCCCUAGUCAGAGCAGCCAGGCUGUACAAAAUCUGUGCUCUCUCGGUUCCCCAUGCCUCUAGAAGGCCGUUAAAACCAAGACUGGAUGCACUGAGAGGAGUCUUUUUUUUUUUUUUUUUUUUUUUCUGUCCCAAGAUCCUGACUUUUCCAAAGUGCCUUAAAAGAAGGGAGACAGACUCAUUGAGUGUGUUGCUUCUUUCUCUCCUAAAGCAAACCUCUGCCUUUUCUCUAUGCUGUUCGUGUUGGGUUUUGUUCAUGUCAGAUACGUGGUUCAUUCUCAGGACCAAGGGAAACUGUCUUGCCUGUCCUCCUAUCUCCUCCCUUUCAGCAUCCUUUGGGGAACCUCCAGCCCAAGGCACUGUUAGGCUUGGGCAUUAGCCUGGCCCAAGAGAUGCCACUGGGGACUAGAGGACAGAAGGGGACGUUCCCUUCACCUGGGAAUUCUCACCCUGGUGUCAACAUGCUGUGCCUUUCUCUUUCUCUAUUUUUGUUGGUGACCUGGAUAGUGUGGCCUUUGGGACAGAUCAGAGGCACAGGAAAGCAAAGGAAAUGUGCCACCCUUUAGCCUGGCAGGGUCUCCCUGCCCACUGGGCUGUUCCAGACCUGUGAUACUGUGUUUGUAUGUUGAUAUCCCAUGUGUACAAAUGUGUUUACCAUUGGGGCUGGGGGUGGGUGGCUGUCUCUGACCUUGGCAUUCAGAACAGACAUCUGUAUUUUUGCCUUUGAAAUGCAGUAAUAUAACGUGAAUAAAUGACCUUAUCUUUG